GUAGGUGGCAAGCGUUGUCCGGAAUUAUUGGGCGUAAAGCGCGCGCAGGCGGUUCUUUAAGUCUGAUGUGAAAGCCCACGGCUCAACCGUGGAGGGUCAUUGGAAACUGGAGAACUUGAGUACAGAAGAGGAAAGCGGAAUUCCACGUGUAGCGGUGAAAUGCGUAGAGAUGUGGAGGAACACCAGUGGCGAAGGCGGCUUUCUGGUCUGUAACUGACGCUGAGGCGCGAAAGCGUGGGGAGCAAACAGGGAUUAGAUACCCUGGUAGUCCACGCCGUAAACGAUGAGUGCUAAGUGUUAGGGGGGUUUCCGCCCCCUUAGUGCUGCAGCUAACGCCUUAAGCACUCCGCCUGGGGAGUAUGGCCGCAAGGCUG
rnacentral:rRNA from 1 species